UCUAAGAAAUCAGACAUGACAUUAGAAAAUUAAAUAAAAUAUUUUAUAUUAUAAGAAGUUUAGAAACAGUCUCUGGGCACUUAGGUUUGAUUUUUGUUAUUUAUAUAUAUAAUAGAUUUAGAUUAUAGAAGCUUUAAUAUAAUAUUGUAUAUAAUUUUACAAUUUUACCGUAAAGCUAAUAAUCAUCUUGCUAUUUUUUUUGUUUAGUAAAACGUAAUAUUCAAUUACUUAGUAGUAAUGUCCAGAUGCACAAGUCCAAAGGUUUAACAAGCAGGAAGGAAUAAGCUAAGCCAUGCAUUUACUGACUUAUAUGUCUUUUUCUCUUUGCUUCCAACUCCAUUUCUUGGCAGAAGAAUACACGAAUGAAACAUGCUCAGCUGUAGCAUAUCGAUAGAAAAAGUCAAUAUAUAGUGAAAAAUGAAAGUGCCUCAAAUAUAGAUGAUAAAUGGCCACUCCACAGCAUUAUCAAAGAAGCAGUCUUUGCUUCCCAGGGAAGGAGGAUAAGUGGAAAAGGGUCACUAGCACCAUAAACAAUAAUGGCUGUUACCAGAUUCUGUGACAUUGACUGUGCACUUUUCCAUUUUAAAUCAAUAUCUUGUUUAACAUUUCCAA
rnacentral:lncRNA from 10 species